GGUAUACAAUUGAACUGGAAGAAAUGAAGUGGAUCUUUGAUACUAAUGUCCUUCUAUCUACUCGUAAUAUUAAAGUAAAUGUCGACAAGUGUUAUCUGGCUGGGCAUGAACAUUUCUACGUUAAGCAAGUAAAGAGUAAUGGAUUCAAAGCUAUUUGUGGAAUUCAUGCAUUCUCAGGCUACUUAAGUUACUAAGGUAUAGUGAGACUCGAGUGAUAUUUUAGUGACACAAUAUAUUGUUUUAUGUAUAAGUACGUAAUCUUAAUUAAUCGUCAUAAGAUAAGUUUUAUAUAAUUGUAAAAAUGGACUGAUUGUAUUGAACUUAAUCUAUAGGUAUUAGUGAAUAAUUUAAAUGUAGCAAAUGACCUAAGGAUAACCGCAAGGCAAUGUACAAAAAAAUUACUGUAAAUUUUAUAUAUAUCCAUUUUAUAUUUGUAAAUCCGUUUGUUUCCUGACACUCAUAAUUAAACACCUUCAAAGCAAGAGUGAAUUGGCAUCUUCUAGGUAAGCGCGCUCCAACUUAGACCGCAUUAAUGCUAGCCAUCAGGCUUAAUUGUAGUCAAGCACUAGCCUAUAUUGCAUGAAAAAAAAUGCAACAAAUUGACAGAAUUACCAAAAGAGGCAACGGUAUUAAGUUACCCUCAAGAAAAAUCAUAAAGUUACCACGUUUAAAGUCGCGGGCAGCUUAGUUAUAUUACACACUAGCUGACGCCGCGCGGUUUUACCCGCGUGGUUCCCGUUCCCGUAGGAAUACGAGGAUAAUAUAUUCUAUAGCCUUCGUCUAUAAAUGGGCUAUCUAACACUGAAAGAAUUUUUCAUAUCGGACCAGUAGUUCCUUAGAUUCGCGCGUUUAAUCAAACAAGCAAACUCUUCAGCUUUAUAUAUUAGUAUAGAUAAUAUAGCCAAGUUCAACCAUUACAUAACUGAAAUAUUGAUAUUCUACUAUCGUCAAUGUAUAAAUUGAAGUUAUUCUAAUUGAAUAAAGCUCGAUUGUUCAUCGGGUUCCCUUAUCUCGGGUCUAUUAGACCCCUCCGUUGUCUUGUGAAGCAAUUACGAGCUUUGGCCCUUCGGUUACUAUCAGCGAGACGAACUAAUUGACGACUUUGUGUUACAAUGUAUCUUUUUAAACAAUACGUGAGUGUUAUACGUUCUCAGAAUUUAUUAUGAAUAAUAAUUUUAUUGUCUCUAUAUUAGGUAGGUAUAGACUAGCGGACGGUCGCGACUUCGUCCGCGUGGAAAUCAAUAUAAACUUACAACCCCCAUUUCACCACUUGAAUUUAAAAAAAAUCUUGAAUCACAUUUAUAUUUCGUAUUUUUUUAUGAUUUAUGAACAAAUUUUAUAAAAUGUAUCUUUAAAAAUGAAGGACUUUCUAUACAAACUUUCAACCCCUGUUUCACCCCCUUCUAUUUUAUUUUAGGGCCAAAAAGUACCCUAUGUUUUGCUCCAAGGUUCCAUUUACAAUUAUACCAAAAUUCAUCUAGAUCAGUUUAGCCGUGAAAAGGUAACAGACAGACAGACUUACUUUUGCAUUUAUAAUAUUAGAAUAGAAUAAAUAAACAUAUUAAUUUUCAUAAUAUGCUUUGGUAAAUAGAUAACAUUUAAACUUAAAAGUAGACUUAAAACUCCGAGUGUAUCAGUCUUUACCAAAGACCAAUGUCCAGCAGUGGUCUUCCAUCGGCGGACAUUGACGAUGAUGAUGAUGAUGAUGAUGAUGAUGAUGAUGAUCAUGAUAUAUUACAUAAAGAAUGGAUUAACGCAGGAAUCUAGACAACACAUGACGACAAGUACAGCAGACUCCAGCAAGAUCUCAUUUUGCAUCAUGCUGCGAGCGACCUGCCAGUUGCCACCAAACCGUCGAAUAGUUUAACCCUAGUCAGCGUUUCUAUUAUAUAUUUCCCAGAAUGGUUUUAGCUGGAUGUGAAUUCCAAUAUAUUAGUCCAAUGGGCGUUUAGCGAACCCAAAGCCUUCCGGCCGUGCAGCCAAUUGAAAAACUCGAUGGAUCGAUGCUGAAUAUACUGCCCUUGUAGCCAAGUGGCACGUCGAUUCUCUUUCUACGAUCGCAAACGCUACGAAAACUAGAAAAAUGUAUAGGAAUGACAGAACUUGAUCACGUGACCUGUCUAUAGCAAAUGUCAUUCCUAUACAUUUUUCUAGUUUUCGAAGCGUUUGCGAUCGUAGAAAGAGAAUCGAAGUGCCACUUGGUUACGGGGCCUGGCUACUUGAACAACAAGAGCUCAAGUAUACAGUUCUAAUUACAGAGCCAUAGUUGUUAGUUAUGGUGGUACGCAGUGUAAUGGUAUCUCUAAUGACGUCAUCAGUGCCAUCAAAGGGACAUUUUCCCAUAGGAAUGUCCGCCGCUCCCGUUAUCGGACGAGCGAAGUAAUUUACAACGAAUCGUCUAUGACUGAUGGGGUUCCAUCGAUGUCUUUGUUAUUACGCGUUGACCGUUUUGAUGUUUGUAAGGGCGCUUACAGACUAAAGUUCUUUCUUUACAAAGAGAUAUAGGAAUGCUUUUACCUGCGUCUGUGGCAACCUUUAGACUUUAGGCACACCUAGAGAAUUAAGAAAAUUCCCAGGUAUGCAGGUUUCCUCACGAUGAUUUCCUUCGCCGUUUGAGACACGUGCUAUUUAAUUUCUGAAAUGUUGAAGGUGCAUGCCCCGGAUCGGAUUCGAAACCUACGCCCUCUGAAUCGAAGGCAGAGGUCAUAUCCACAUAAAAUUCUAAACUGACCCGUGUUGUGAAUCGAACCCAAGACAUCUGUGUUGAGAACCACAGCACUUCCAACUGUGCUAGAGAGGUCGUCAGAAAAAAUGGACAACAUAGAGUUAGAGGUAGAGUAGGGUAGGGGUAUGGUAGGGUAGUAGGGUAGGGCAGGAGUAUGGUUUUACGCGGACGAAGUCGUGGGCGUCCGCUACUAUUGUAUAGAUUUCACAUGCUCUUCUUGGUCGCAUUCUUCAUUGCUGAAGGUCGUGUCCGCACUGCAGUCCCUUCGAUGCGUUGUUAACGAUUCCCCUCCACACAGUCCGGUCCAUUUUUUCCGGUCAAUUUCACAUGCAUUGCAUUACUAUAUGGUUUGUUCAAUGAAAAUUGAACAUGGAACUUUUUAAUAUAACUAGUUAUUGAAUAAUACAAGCGAACAAAGUCGCGGGCAACCGCUAUUUAUUUCCACCAAUACAUCAAAACCAAUUAUAAUAUAAUUCCUGGUAAUAACUACACAAACCGCAACAGUACGUAUUGACCUAUUUGCACUUGAAUUAAUAUAGCUGUUCACUAUACCACAGAUAAUUGGUGAAUUAUUAAUAAUGCAACACGAACAAUUUAUUAAUUAUUAUUAUGGUGGUAUACAAGUAGAUGCGGUUUGUGGGGGUGGUGGAAAUUUGACUAUUAUAAAGUAAAGUAUAUUUAUUGGAGACCUAUACUACAGCCUUUUUUGAUGAGUACUGUUUACCAACAAAGAAAUUAGAAAUGAAGGUAGAAAACGCAUGCCAUUUCAUAAAUUAUUUAUUUUAAAUUAUGUAUGGUUUGUUUAUUAAACGUUAUAUAAAAUAUAUUACCCAUAUUUAAUUGUUCUAAGCUUAUUAAUCAAAUUUAUUUUCAUUAAUUUAAGAACAAGUUAAUUAUAAUUUAUUGAAAUGACUAGUGAUUUAUACCCUCAUUUUUAAUUUGUUUGUUGGUAAACAGUAUUGAUCAAGAAAGGCUGUAGUAUAGAGUGUAGGCUAACAUAAUGCCUCAUUCGCACGAGAGUUAAAAAAGCGAUGCGUUAAAACCCAGCGUUGGCGGGCGUAGCGUAUAGUAUGAAGUUGAAUAAAGUUCCAUUUCCAACGCCCAAAAUUAUAAAUGCAACACUGCUCGAUAUAAAAAUCGUCAUGUUUUAAAAACGCUGUGCUGUAAUUUAAAAACAUGUACUUGGGAUGGUGUAUUUGUUGUAUUUUAAAUGUUUUUUACCGUCUUUUAAAAAAACGCCAUUGUCCAUAUUGUGACGUUUAGUACAUAAAGUAACAUGGUGAGUUACUUGAUGUACUAAACGUUCUUUUCAAACGCUCCGUUUUUAAAGAAUUUGCUAGCUUGACGUCUAGAAACGAUUGAAAUAUAGACCAUCAUGGCCGACAGGCGUUUAGGCUCGUAUUGUCAAAAAAUUUAAAAAUUUUAAUUUUCAUGUAACCACGUCUUAAAAAAAUAAUAUUUUUUUUCAAUCUAGUAGAAUGUUAAUGAACAAUUUGAAACCAUUUAAAAAAAGGUCAACUAGCCUAUUCGCAACCUUGUUCGCAUGUAAUUAAGUUUUGCUCAAUAAAAUAAAGAUAAGUCCUCAAAAGUUUAAGGGAUAUCGUUUUAGACUUUCUUUCGCAAAAUUACAUAUAACUGAUUGCCUAUAGGUAUGGUUCUUGCCUUGGUGAUGAAGUCUGUCGUUCCCGAUUAUGAUCGUUGAUCUAAGAAAACUCCAACCCUCGAGAAGCUUAUACAAUACUGCAACACUAAAAAAAACAUGUGACAAAAGACCCGGAUGGAACGAAGUUCGCUAUCGCUAUCGCCACCCUGGAACUCACGGCUUACAACUAUAGCAAAAACAUUACCCUCCUUCUUACGCAGUUGGGUAAAAAUUGUUCAACUAUUGGUCUUAAUUUUCUCCGUCUAAAAACCCCCAAACGCGCGAUAAGAAAUUUCGUUCCAAAAUGUGUGCAGAAUUCCAUAAAAAUGCCAUGUAAUUUCCUUCUAAUAAUGAUGAUGAUUUGAUAACCCUCAUUAAACUUACUUUUGUUGUCAUAUCACCGGUUUUCUUAACGCACUUUCCCAUAACAGCUUUCCAUAUUUUCCAUUGUCGAUGUAAUUGCUUCGAUGUUUUCGAGUGCCCCCAUUUUACACCUGACCUCAGCGCCAAAUUCAGCAAAACGCAAUUUGCGCGGUCGACGACAUACCCUUUGUGAUCUGGAGGAGCGGGUGACGGGUGCAUGGUAUUUUCAAUCCUAUAACCAUAUUGUUAUGGCUCAUAAUGGUGUAAGGAUGUGUUGAUUGAUGCGCGACCUUGCGCAUUGUUACACAGAGAUUGACUAUCUUGGGGUACUCAUCUCGUAACUACCUUGUAGGAGAUUGCUGAAAAAAAUGGCCUUGUAAUCUCAAAGCGAAUACCUGAGCCGUGAUAGCCCAGUGGAUAUGACAUCUGCCUCCGAUUCCGGAGGGUGUGGGUUCGAAUCCAGUCUGGGGCAUGCACCUCCAACUUUUCAGUUGUGUGCAUUUUAAGAAAUUAAAUAUCACGUGUCUCAAAUGGUGAAAGAAAACAUCGUGAGGAAACCUGCAUGCCAGAAAAUUUUCUUAAUUCUCUGAGUGUGUGAAGUCUGCCAAUCCGCAUUGGGCCAGCGUGGUGGACUAUUGGCCUAAUCCCUCUCAUUCAGAGAGGAGACUCGAGCUCAGCAGUGAGCCGAAUAUGGGUUGAUAAUGAUGAAUCUCAAAGCAUUUCGUAUACGUUAUCAUGAUAAUUUGACUCGUUUACGUUUUCGUGCACACCAUAAAUGCAAAAAUGCACUGCCUACCUUGAGGAGUCAUUACGAAUCUGCAUUGGAGAGGGAAUUUUUCAUUUUGUAACCAAGUUGUACAAUACAGUGCAUACCCUAGUUGCUCACGCUGUGAACGCCACUGCGUAAACCGUAGAGAGGAUUAGUGAAUGGAACUUAACAAAAGGGAUUUAUAUGGUAGCGAACAUUCCUGGACCAAAAUCAGAACUUCUAUACUCUAUACUAAUAUACAUAUAAAGCUGAAGAGUUUGUUUGUUUGGUUGAACGCACUAAUCUCAGGAACUACUGGUCUUAUUUGAAAAAUUGUUUCAGUUUUAGAUAGCCCAUUUAUCGAAGAAGGCUAUAGGCUAUGUAUUAUCCCCGUAUUCCUACGGGAACGAGAACCACGCGGGUGAAACCGCGCGGCGUCAGCUAGUACUAAAUAAAGGUUCUCGAGAUUGUGUAACAAUAGUUUAUGCUUUAAGUAUUUUGAUACAUUUUUCUCCUUUUUAACCGACUUCAAAAAGGAGUAGGCUAAGUUGCUCUCUCAACUUAACUGGUAUUUUUAUGUAGCGUUUUCAGUUAAAACAAUGAACUAUACUCGGACUAAAUUAUCUGAAACAACAGUAUGCCUAGUGGGAGUUUUCAAUAAUUUCAUACUGUUACUAUCGCGUUGACGUAAACGCGAAUUUAUAUGGAAUUGAAACAGUUGUUCAGUAGUGCCACGAGAUGGCGCUGUUUCAAUUCCUUCAAAUUCGCGUUUACGGUAACGCGAUAGUAACAGUAUUAAACUGCCACUAGGCCCUCUGAAUUCAAAACAGGCGACGUCAAAGCCAGUAUCUCGUGUUCUAAUCAAAUCGUAUAGAUCAUGCACCUCGCGUUUAACCUACUUUCGAACUAAACUUCUAUAAAUGGAACUAAUCCAUUUGAUCCGUCGAUUUCGCAUGCACGGCAAAGUCCUGUUUAUGCUGAUACUUAAUAACUGCAUGACCAAUUUUAAUAAAAAAUCAGUAAUUAUUAACGUCACCAGCUGGCCUAUUCACUAAUUUGGUCUUUGUUAUCAACCUAUUAAAAUAAACAUCAAAUCAACUGACAAAUGUCAUCUACCUACUGUAUGAUAUCCACCAGUAGGCACCGGAAGACAUUCAAACAUAGUGAAUUUGGCCUGCUGGUCAAUGUAUCACGUAUUUGAUGUUAACGGUUCCAUGUAUCAUAGUUGUCGACGUCUCUGGCGUAGUUGGUAGUGCUGUGGAUCUCAACAGUAAGGUCCUGGGUUCGAUUCCCUAGCACAUGCCAGUUUAAGAUUUAAUAUUGUCUAAAUUGGCUUACUUUUGGUCUAGUGGUAGGCUUCGGAAAUGGUUAGUAACUAGCCACUUCCGAAGCCUACGGCUAAACGAUUUAGCGUUCAUUUAUUUAAAUAUCGCGGCAAGAUAACAUGAAUAACAUAAAACAUGGGUUAUAUAAAUUACCGAUGCCAAAAUUAUAGGGGUAUUUUAAAAUUUAUUAUCUACAUUUAAUUGAAUUAUAAGGACAAACUUAUUUAAAAAUCAAAACCAUCAAUCAUCUACGACUCAAACAAUGUGUUACCAUGUAAACCUAAUUAAGUUAAAUUUUCCUCAAGGAAGAAUUUAUACUUGUGAGCAAAAACUGUGCAGCUAAAAUUCAUAGAACAAAAAAUGUAAUCCAAACUACGUAGAACGAGCAUCUAUCAAAAUGAUAUAAAUUCCAACAUCUUGUUUGCCGUAACUACAAAGUUAAGUAACUAUUUUUAUAUUGUUUACUUCUGUUGUUGUUUCCAUUGUGGACUAAGAGCCAGCGAUAGCCAGACUUACCUCAUUUUAUGAAGGCUGACAGUUUGGUAGUAUGUUUUCCUACCCACAUAAUAUAGACAACGCUAAAGCUGACACUUUAUUCCCAUCAUUUAUAUGCGUAUUAGCAAGUACAGUAUUAAUAUACAGGGUAUCCCGUAAUCAAUGGAUAAAACGCAAAUGGCAGAUACAACACUAUAGUAUACUACUAAUUAUCUAAAACUAAUUUGAAGUGACCAAGUAAAUUUUUUUUUUUCGGAUUUUUAUAAUUUUUCCAUCUUGAAUUAGUGUUUUCAAUGCUGUUGCUGUAUAAUUAUGAUUUUAAAGAUCUGAUUUUUGUUAAACGUUACAGAUUAAAUUAUCAAUUGCUAUAGUACUAUUUAUAUUAUAAAUAACGUUUUAUUUGUUAUGUAGAAGAAGCUUUGAGUGCAAUAAUUAUUUUUCUUUUAUCAGGUGACCUGAUUUCAAAAAAUAGUCCUGUAAAAAAUGAAUGUAAGUGUAAAAAGUAAAAUUAACUUCAAAUAAAGUACGGUACAGACGGUAGACAAUCACGGUUACGGUAAUUACGGUUUGGUUUUGAAUACUUGAACGAUCAUUUGUUAAAGUAUACCUACUGUAGAUUCUUUAUUUCAAGUUAAUUUGACUUCUUAUACUUCAGUCCCAUACUGGACAAUUUUUUGAAAUCUGGUCAUCUUAAUGAAUGAAAAAUAACUAUAGCACUGGAAACUUCUACUACAUAACAAAUAAAACGUUGUUUAUAUGAAAAUACCUUGAAACCUUUCAAAGCUACCAAACUCCAUAAUUGGCUUACCGAUGGUAGGAGGAAAAACCUGACAAACUUUCAGACUUUAUAAAAUGAGGUAAGUCUGGCUAUAGCAGGCUCUCGUUUUAUUGUGUUCUGUUGAAAUAAAGAUAUUCUGUGUUUCUUGC